rnacentral:rRNA from 1 species
AAAGGAAUUGACGGGGACCCGCACAAGCAGCGGAGCAUGUGGUUUAAUUCGAAGCAACGCGAAGAACCUUACCAGGGCUUGACAUCCCUCUGACCGGACCUUAAACGGUCCUUUCUUCGGACAGAGGAGACAGGUGGUGCAUGGUUGUCGUCAGCUCGUGUCGUGAGAUGUUGGGUUAAGUCCCGCAACGAGCGCAACCCUUGUCAUUAGUUGCUAACAUUCAGUUGAGAACUCUAAUGAGACUGCCGGGGACAACUCGGAGGAAGGUGGGGAUGACGUCAAAUCAUCAUGCCCCUUAUGUUCUGGGCUACACACGUGCUACAAUGGCCGGUACAAAGAGCAGCAAGACCGCGAGGUGGAGCAAAUCUCAAAAACCGGUCCCAGUUCGGAUUGCAGGCUGCAACUCGCCUGCAUGAAGUCGGAGUUGCUAGUAAUCGUGGAUCAGAAUGCCACGGUGAAUGCGUUCCCGGGUCUUGUACACACCGCCCGU